CUAUGGCAAAGGAACAGCAGCAGGACAUUGUCCUUAUUAGUGAAUCAAAUGCAACCGGACUUGAAACUAAUGGAAGUGUUUCAAAUGAUGAUCAGGAACCAUACAGCCCAUCUUCAGAAUACAGUUAUAAACCCGUCAAUGACAAAAAUAGUAAAACAUUCUCUACUGGUAAAGAAUCUACUUCGUAUCUAAUUCCAAAAUUAACUUUAGGUACAUUUAUCCCUAAAGAUAACUGCAUUGAAACAAUUACUCCUGGUGCUUCCUCAAAACUAAUUGUCAAACCAGUUGAGCCCAGAAAAGAUCAAGUAAAUCUAGAUGAGAAUAAUCGCAAACAACAUAAUAUUGAUGAUAAUGAAAAUGAUGAAGAUAAUGUUUCCCAGCUUAGGAUGAUUGCAUUACAAACCAAAAAGAAAACAACGCAAGAGGAAACUCAAUCAGAUUCUAAUGAUAAAAGUACAUCUCAAACAGCUUUAGACCAAAUUGUCGAAGAGAUUGCUGAGCCAGAAUCCUCAGAAGCUCCUUGUGGCUUAAAUGAAGAUGACGAUGUUUUACAAUUACGUGUUGCUGCACUGAAAUCAGCUGUCAUGAAAAAGUACGGUGAGCGCAAGAAGAAAGGACUGGUUGUUAAAAAACGGAAGAGGGCUCCUUCUGGAUUUGGAGAUGACAUAUUUUCUGUUCAUGAAAGCAACACAGCUCUGGACCAAGAAAACACAACACCUCUUUCACCAAAUAUAUCGUCAACUUCUGUUCAAGGUGAAGAGGAUAUGGAGUUGGCUGAAUCAGAUCUUGGAGAAGAUGUUAUUGAAGAGCUUCCUGAAACUUCAGUUGUUGAAAAACCAAAACUGUUUGCACCUGUUCAUUUAGGCUUAAAACCCCUGUAUGAUGGUUCAGUGACACAUUCAGUGAAUUCAUGCUCAGUUGUACCACCUCAACCCUUGCCUCCAGGUGUUGAUGGUGACUGUCCGGAGAUGAUUGACCCAACAAUAUUGAGGUCAGUUUUACCUCCUCCCCCACCCCCUCCUCUUCUACGAUCACCUCCUCCUUUAACAAUUACAUCAAUGCUUCAUCCUCCACCCCCACCCCCUUUCCCCUCUCAUAGUAAAUCUGAAGUUUUAGGAGAAAUAUCAAAUCAACUGAAUGUUGAAGAAGAGUUUGCUGCUUCCAGUUCUCUUUUUGGUAAUCGUUCUUUUGACAAUGAAUCAGAUAUGAAUCAACCAAACUUCAGUAAUCGAAUGAAAGUUGACAGUUCCAAGAAGUCUGAUUCUAUAAAAACUAGUUUGAGAAAUAAUUUAAUCACAGUUGAUGUUGUAAAAAAUGUACCAAAGAAAGUCCCCCCGCCAAAAAAAAAGAGGAGGAGGAAGGUUAGGAAAGAAUAUAUAAAAUUAAAGGCUGAGCUUGAUAGAGAGUUAGAUUUACUUUGUAUUACCAAACCUCCAGGGAAAUCUACGACCAAAUCAGCUGGUAGUGCAAAUUUAACCAAAAAUAAACAGGGUAGGCCUAGUGUUAGUUCUGGAUAUGGAAAGCAUUGUGAAACCAGUCCAGAAAAGAUUACGCCUAAAGAUUACGAGAGCUCAUCGCCCAUUGUUUUGUGCAAAACAGAUUUGCCUGCAGAUAAUUGGACAGAUGAUGAUAACUCAGGAAACGUUUUACAAAAACAACAACACACAGGGAUUGACGCUGAAGAAAAUUUUAACUUCUCUGAUGAGUCUCCCAUGGCUGACAAUGAUAUAGAUCUUUCUGACAUGAUUGUUCUAGACGAAGUUGGAAUGUCUCCUGAACAUAAAUCUAAAUAUGAUAGCACACAUGACUACAGUUUUCCUUAUGAAGAUGAGGACGAGGACACUUUAAGGAUCCGUGCAUUAACAUCAUUAUCUCCUAAACCUCUCUUUAAAACACCAACCACUACUCCCCCUCAGAAUUCAUACCCUCAGACUGAACCUUAUGGUAGUUACCAAGGCAAUAAGGAAUACACUCAAAGGAAAAUAUUAGCUCCAGGAAAACCGAAAGAAGUUAUCAAGCGAAGAAAAGUCGUUGGUGAAACCUCAAAAUAUCGACUCACUCGAAUGAGUAAUGAUCGAAGGAGUGUGCUUCAUGGGAAAGAGACAUUAAAAGUUGUCGUCCCAACGAAUUCUCAGUCCCAUGCACCUGUGGAACAGUCUUUGCCAGUUGUACAGAGAUUAGUGAUCAAUGUAAAUAAAGAUUCCGACAGUGAAGAAGAAUGCGAAUGGACCAGAAAAAUACGAAUACAGGAAACCAAUACACUGCCACCUCUAGGACCGGUGGUAGACUAUGAGCUUGAACGCAGUAUAGACGAAUUGUUAAUGAGAGCUCGCAACAGCUCUGAAAACGUAUCUUCUAGAAAAAGUCAAGAUGUAAGAGCUCAAAGUUUCACACAGAAAAGAGAUCGUAGAAGUAGUACUGAUGAUGACUCGCUACAUGGCACCCCAAUGAAGCUGUUGCCCAUUGAAAAACAGGAAGAAUACAAACGUUUGAAAGCUAUUUUAGAACAGAAGGAGAGGGAAAGAAGGUUGAAGAGAAUUCCUAGGAAGGCAACAGAGACAUCUAAAUCACUUUUAAAACAGGUUCUUACGACAGAAAACAACAAACAGAUUAAAGAGAAUUCAAACCAAAACAUCCAUAGUAGGCCUAAUAGUAGCCAUGGGGACCUGAAUUUGGAUGAAAGGAUAUUAGAAAAUUACGGCUCAAGUAACCCUAGAAAUGUGAAUGUUAAAGAAGACUCCAUAAGCUCAGGUUUUAGUGAUGCAGAUGAAAUAAUCAGUUCUUUCCACCAUGAAGAAAAUAUUGCAAGGAGACUAAAUUCAGACUGUCAUAAUGUUCAGAAUGAACAAUUGAAGUCCUCGGAUCAAAAAAUUUGUGUGCCGACAGUUAACCUUAUUACUGAUAGAAAAAUUGAGACGGAUUCAAAAAAUCUAGAUCAGUCCCAAAGAGCCACCAACUCAGACUCAGAUGAAAGCAGAUCAAAACGGUUAAGUGUAGACACAACAACAGCAGCUAUGAAAGAAAAGUCAGAAAACCUAAGCGGGCAAAGAAAAAUAGUUUCUUCAGUCCAGAAAAAUAAUGCCACAAAUAGAGAAAAUAUAUCUAGUUACGAGUUGGAAAUGAACAAAGAAAAUUCACCAAAAAUAUCUUGUGAAUCUCAAUCUAGUUCUACAGUAGGUAACUUUUCCACAACCGGGGAUUUCUAUUUCAGCCAAACUACGGCAAGCGCUUCUGGACUUUUUGGGCUGAAUUCCGGAGACAUAGAACCCUGUAGUAGAGUCAAUAAUUGUGACAAUGAAAAUAAUGUAUCGACUAAAGAAACGCUCAGUGACAAAGUGGGUGAUGUUCGAGAUUUUUCUCCUGAUUCUGGUAAAUCCUCUGUAGAACAUUUUAAUAGACAUCAGUUUUUGAAUCCAGAAACUAGAUGUGAAAUACAGGUGGAGGAACAGAACGCGGAAUCCAAUUCAACAGAAAAUAUUAAAGAAGCUCUUGCCCCAGAAGAUUUAAAAGACUCAAGUCAAUCAGACCCAAAACCAUGUUCUCAGGAAGAGUUGGGAGCCAAAAAAUCAGAACUGCUUAGUGAAAGAUUUGGAUUGCUGGACGACCUGUCGGAGAUGACCGAGUCACUGGAUGAUCUGGACAGUCAACAGCGCAGGUUGGAGCAAGCGGUUGUAGACAUUAGCGAGCUGCGCAGAGCACUGCGUGCCGCAGAAGACUCUCUGCAUAAACAGCUGUUGGUGGCUAAAGAUAGCGAGCAGAGACUCCGUGAUACACAUUCUGCUGUCAAUGUGAGGUGUUCGAACAUCAUACAGCUGGAGACUACGCUUCACCGCGCUUCUUUUGAAAUCCCCACAACAGCUCAGAAAUUGAUGACCAAGAAAGUCAAACAAGUGAAGGAGAAAAUGGACAAAGUAAGAGAAGGGCGAAGUAUAAUAAAGUCCUUAAUUCACAAUCCAGACAUAACCAAAGAAGAAUUGACAGAAAUGCAUGCUAACCUGUUAGAGAAAAAUUCUGGAAAUUCGGAACCAGAUGUUGAAGAUUGCAACAUUUUGUGGCUACAGGAUCCAAACGAAUUUAAGCUGGACGAUUUGCCUUUGCAUGAAAGUUAUAGCUGUGAUACUGAGAUUCAAGAAACAAAUGUUUGUUCUAAUGUUCUCGUAGAAGGUCAAGUAUUGCAUCAUCUGAAGGUCAAAAGGAACUGUCAAAAGGAAAGAAAUGUUUCAGGCAUGGUUGAUUGUACCGCUUCAGAGCUAAUUCCUGUAAAUACUGUUACAAGCGAGGACACUGUGCGUUUUAAAACCUGUGAUACUUCAAGAAAAUACAAUUCAGAAAACAGUGUUACAACAUUUGAUGUUUCAAUUUCUUCUGAAUCCAGCCAGCUACAGUCACAAAGUUCUUUGCAAUCAAUAAUAAUAAGUAAACAUGCAGAAGAUUCAGGUAGAAAAUCAAAAGAAUGUACAAAUGAAGAGCUUACUACUGAACGUUGUGCAAAAUCUUUUGAUUCCAAAGUCACUGAAGAAACGGUAAAAAUACAAAAUUUGGUGAAAAAUGAUAACACAUGUAAUAAAAUCAAAGUCUGUGAUAAAACUAGGAACAUUCCAUCGAAUGAAAGUGGCUCCGGAAACUCUGGACAAAGGUGCCAUUCUAAUGAUUCUGGAUCAUCUAAAUCAAAGCUCAAGUACAAAUCCAUUCUUCAGUUCAGGCAUCUGGGUUCCAGUGCCGACAAGGGUUCCAAUGACAAAACCAUUCUGUGUCCUUACGAUUUGACAGGGAGAUGCCAAGAUAAAGCUUGCAAGUAUCAACAUCUCCAUUGACCCCUGUAAAUAUACUUUAGAGUUAAGACUUUUACAGUUAUUUAUUUUUCAUUAUUAACAUCUAAAAUCAUAUGAUUUGUUAUUGUAAACCAUUAUACUCUCCAUUCUUUAUAUGCAUAGUUUAUAUUGCAAGUAACGUCAUGUUCAAGUUCCUUUGGUUUAGUUUGUUAUUUGUUGAAAUUAAGUUUGCAUUUACCAAGUUGGUGGAAACUUGAGUUGAUAAUGUUAAGAAUUAAUUUGGUACCGGUAAGUAAUUUGUCUGUUGCGGAGUGACACUAACGAAGUGCUUAUUAUGAAUUGCAUCAACUUGACCAUUUGCUUGAUGAGUUUGAAGCCUCUGUUUCAGAAGCAGUGGGCACGACUGCUGUGGUUCCGCAUGAAUAAGGUUGGUCAAAGCUCGGUAGAUUAUUCCAAAGCAUGGACUUUAGUAUCACAUGCCAUAGCAAGAAAGUUCGGAAGAAGAAAAUGUUUGGUGUUCUUUGCAAUUAGACGGAAGAAUGACUUUAGACUAAAAAAGAUAUUAGUCGGUGCUCACUCCAACUCUAGUGUUCAAGAUUGUCGGUCCAAGUUUGCUAUUCAAGAAGUGAAGAACAAUUGUGCAAGAUGUCGGCUUGAACAAGAAAUUUUCUGUGUGAAUUAAAAGUGAGAAUCAAGUGUGGAACUCAUAUAAUUUUGUUACCUUGUACUCAUAAAAGUACAUUAAAUAUUUAAGUGAACUGCCUAAAUACUUCAGGCAUAUAUGUAAUAAAAAGCUGUCUAAUUUUAUACCAAUAAAAUUAUUUGUUUUGUA